GGAGAGAUGCCGGAGAGGUCGAACGGGGCCGACUCGAAAUCGGCUGUGCGGCUUAAACCGCACCGGGGGUUCGAAUCCCUCUCUCUCCGCCA
rnacentral:tRNA from 1 species